CCAGACUCCUACGGGAGGCAGCAGUGGGGAAUAUUGCACAAUGGGGGAAACCCUGAUGCAGCGACGCCGCGUGAGUGAAGAAGUAUUUCGGUAUGUAAAGCUCUAUCAGCAGGAAAGAAAAUGACGGUACCUGACUAAGAAGCCCCGGCUGACUACGUGCCAGCAGCCGCGGUAAUACGUAGGGGGCAAGCGUUAUCCGGAUUUACUGGGUGUAAAGGGAGCGUAGACGGUGAAGCAAGUCUGAAGUGAAAGGCGGGGGCUCAACCCCCGGACUGCUCUGGAAACUAUUGAACUUGAGUGCAGGAGAGGUAAGCGGAAUUCCUAGUGUAGCGGUGAAAUGCGUAGAUAUUAGGAGGAACACCAGUGGCGAAGGCGGCUUACUGGACUGUAACUGACGUUGAGGCUCGAAAGCGUGGGGAGCAAACAGGAUUAGAUACCCUUGUAGA
rnacentral:rRNA from 1 species